rnacentral:tRNA from 13 species
UGGCAUCGGGGGGAUUCGAACCCACGCCUCGAAAGACUUGUGCCUAAAACCAGCGCCUUAGACCACUCGGGCACGUUACC